rnacentral:rRNA from 1 species
AGCAGCCGCGGUAAUUCCAGCUCCAAUAGCGUAUAUUAAAGUUGCUGCAGUUAAAAAGCUCGUAGUUGAAUUUCGGGAUCGAUAUAUCGGUCGUGCCUCGGUACGUACUGGUAUUUUCGGUUUCUACCUUCUGACGAACCUUGAUGUCAUUAAUUUGGUGUCUUGGGGAAUCAGGACUGUUACUUUGAAAAAAUUAGAGUGUUUAAAGCAGGCUCACGCUUGAAUACAUUAGCAUGGAAUAAUGAAAUAGGACGUUUGAUUCUAUUUUGUUGGUUUCUAGGAUCGACGUAAUGAUUAAUAGGGAUAGUUGGGGGCAUUAAUAUUCAAUUGUCAGAGGUGAAAUUCUUGGAUUUAUUGAAGACUAACUACUGCGAAAGCAUUUGCCAAGGAUGUUUUCAUUAAUCAAGAACGAAAGUUAGGGGAUCGAAGACGAUCAGAUACCGUCGUAGUCUUAACCAUAAACUAUGCCGACUAGGGAUCGGAUGAUGUUAAUUUUUAAUGACUCAUUCGGCGCCUUACG